CCUACGGGAGACAGCAGUGAGGAAUAUUGGUCAAUGGGCUUACGCCUGAACCAGCCAAGUCGCGUGAGGGAAGACUGCCCUAUGGGUUGUAAACCUCUUUUGUCAGGGAGCAACGCCGGCUACGUGUAGCCGGACUGAGAGUACCUGAAGAAAAAGCAUCGGCUAACUCCGUGCCAGCAGCCGCGGUAAUACGGAGGAUGCGAGCGUUAUCCGGAGUUAUUGGGUUUAAAGGGUGCGUAGGCGGAAUGCCAAGUCAGCGGUAAAAUCGCGGGGCUCAACCUCGCUCCGCCGUUGAAACUGGCGUUCUUGAGUGGGCGAGAAGUAUGCGGAAUGCGUGGUGUAGCGGUGAAAUGCAUAGAUAUCACGCAGAACUCCGAUUGCGAAGGCAGCAUACCGGCGCCCAACUGACGCUGAAGCACGAAAGCGUGGGUAUCGAACAGGAUUAGAUACCCCGGUAGUC
rnacentral:rRNA from 1 species